GACAGCUUCAGCGUUAAGGCAUCCACACAGCAUUUUCGCAGGAAAUGCAAAUUUUUCUAGUUAUUAUUAUUCUUCUAGUUGCUUCCGUACACUUUUUGGCACUUAACUACUCCCUCAGUUCUUAACCGAUUUUCGCCAUUCAAACUUUAAAAAAUUCUGCUCUUUCUGCUCUUUCCGGCAAUGACUUUUGGUGCUCAUAACUUCUAUACUUUUUGAGAUAUUGAAUUUUUUUUGCAAUAUUUUUUGCCCAUUUCUGCCAUAUUAUCAGUGGCCUCACUGAUUUUCCUUGCCAGGUUGACCUGUGUUUUAGCUCAGUGAGAUGAGCGUCCGUUCUCAGACUGGGAGGCCCGGGUUCAAAUCCCGCUUAUGGCAACAUUUCUUUCAGUUAACAGUUAAACUUUUUUUACUCUUUUCAACACAAAUUUCAGCUUUAUAACCCGUUUUCAGCAGAAUCUUCAGUUUUUUCACCACUUUUCAGCACAAAUCCCAGCUUUUUCAGCUAUUUUCAGCAAAAACAUCUUUUCAGCAGAAUUCUGAAAAGUUCUGCAGAACUCUUUUCAGCAGAAAUUCUGCUGAUUGAACUCUUUUCAGCAGAAUUUUCACCUCUUUUCAGCCGAAAUUCUGCUUAUUCACCUCUUCUGCAAAAUUUUCACCCUUUUCACCUCUUAUUAGCACAGAUCUCAGCUGUUUUCAGAAAAAACCCUUUUGAGCAGAAAUUCUGCUGAUUCAUCUCUUUUCAUUGCAAUUUUCUGCUUUUUCACCUCUUUUCAGCAGAAAUUCUGCUGAUUCACCUCUUUUCUGCAAAAUUUUCAACCAUUUCACCUCUUAUCAGCGCAAUUCUCAGCAGUUUCUGCUCAUUUCACCAUAAUUGUCAGUCUCUCCAUCUCUUAUCUUGUGAGAGUGAAUUUGGCACAGUGAGAUGAGUAGCUGCUUUGCACCUGGUAGGGCCAGGUUCGAAUCCUGCUCAGGGUGACAUUCUUUUUUCACCACCAUACAACUUUUUGCAACUUCUCAGCUUUUUCAGCUUUUCAGCAGACAGCUUCAGCGUUAAGGCAUCCACACAGCAUUUUCGCAGGAAAUGCAAAUUUUUCUAGUUAUUAUU
ensembl:lncRNA